AACGAACGCUGGCGGCAGGCCUAACACAUGCAAGUCGAGCGAAGCCUUCGGGCUUAGCGGCGGACGGGUGAGUAACGCGUGGGAACGUGCCCUUUGGUACGGAAUAGCCCCGGGAAACUGGGAGUAAUACCGUAUGUGGUCGAGAGACGAAAGAUUUAUCGCCAAAGGAUCGGCCCGCGUUGGAUUAGGUAGUUGGUGGGGUAAUGGCCUACCAAGCCGACGAUCCAUAGCUGGUGUGAGAGGAUGAUCAGCCACACUGGGACUGAGACACGGCCCAGACUCCUACGGGAGGCAGCAGUGGGGAAUCUUAGACAAUGGGGGAAACCCUGAUCUAGCCAUGCCGCGUGGGUGAAGAAGGUCUUCGGAUCGUAAAGCCCUUUCGACAGGGACGAUGAUGACGGUACCUGUAGAAGAAGCCCCGGCUAACUUCGUGCCAGCCGCCGCAGUAAAAC
rnacentral:rRNA from 1 species